rnacentral:rRNA from 1 species
GAUGAACGCUAGCUACAGGCUUAACACAUGCAAGUCGAGGGGUAACAAGAGAAAAGCUUGCUUUUCUUGUUGACGACCGGCGCACGGGUGAGUAACGCGUAUCCAACCUGCCUAUAACUAGGGAAUAACCUUGCGAAAGUAAGACUAAUACCCUAUGAUUUCCUUUGAUGACAUCAGAUUAGGAAUAAAGCUUUAUCGGUUAUAGAUGGGGAUGCGUCUGAUUAGCUUGUUGGCGGGGUAACGGCCCACCAAGACAACGAUCAGGAGGGGUUCUGAGAGGAAGGUCCCCCACAUUGGAACUGGGACACGGUCCAAACUCCUACGGGAGGCAGCAGUGAGGAAUAUUGGUCAAUGGGCGGAAGCCUGAACCAGCCAAGUAGCGUGCAGGAUGACGGCCCUAUGGGUUGUAAACUGCUUUUAUACAGGAAUAAAGUUAGCCACGUGUGGUUAUUUGUAGGUACUGUAUGAAUAAGGACCGGCUAAUUCCGUGCCAGCCGCCGCAGUAAUAC